UUUAAGUAGAAGAAACUAACUCACCAAAAUUAAAACCCAAAAUAUUUUGACCUCCCUUUGCCUACAUCAAGAUGUUUCUGUCUACUGUUAUGAUUCAUGAUUUCAUACUAUUUCUUCUUUGGUUUCCCAUUAUUCAGUUCAAGAAUAUACUUCUUGCUGAUUUCUACGUGCUUUCCUCUUUGAUGAAUGAAUGAUACUUCUUGCUGAUUAUAUGUUAUAGCACGGCACCCACACUUUUGCCCUAGAAACUUGCUUUCCCAAAUGCGUAACUUUUUCUUGUUUCAAAUUCAGCUUUCAUGAAGGUUCUGUAAGUUUUUAUUCCGCUGUGUCAUGCUAGCCCAUGUUUCCACUGUUAAUGCUUUAAUUAUGCCUUUUGCUGUUGCAGACUGCAUUAAGAAAUCCUCCUCCUCAAAACAAUCCUCCUUGCCCAACACUUUUUGUGGCUAAUCUUGGUCCAGCUUGUUCUGAAAAAGAGCUGACUCGAAUGUUUUCCAAAUACCCAGGAUUUUUAAAGUUGAUGUUGCAACACAAGAAAGGGGUUUCUGUUGCAUUUGUCGACUUUCAGGACAUUGCUUGCUCAACUGAAGCCCUCAACAGCCUGCAGGGAAGCUCUUUAUUCUCAUCUUUUGGGGAGCGCCUGCGCAUAGAGUAUUCAAAAUCUCGCAUGGGGCUGCGCAAACGGGAUAGGUGAAGCCAAAAUCCAGGGAGGAGCUCAGUAAGUCUUUCUGACCACCCUUCAUAUUUCUACCAUUUAACAUAAGCUUUAUCUUAAUAUUUUGUAGCACCAUACACUUAAAUUUUGUUGAAGUUUAAGUUGUCUGAAUUGAGUCAAAUCUGAAUCAAAAUUUAUUAUCGGAUUGAAAUGUUUGGAUUUAUUGCAGUUGCUGAUUGUAGCUCUGUUUUUUCUUAUUUCCUACGGCUGCUAUAAGCAAAGAGAUAAUAGACUAAAUUUUGCAUGUUGAUGACA